rnacentral:rRNA from 1 species
CAGCAGCCGCGGUAAUACGAAGGGGGCUAGCGUUGCUCGGAAUGACUGGGCGUAAAGAGCGUGUAGGCGGCGAUCAAAGUCAGGCGUGAAAUUCCUGGGCUCAACCUGGGGGCUGCGCUUGAUACUUGGUUGCUUGAGUGGGGAAGAGGGUCGUGGAAUUCCCAGUGUAGAGGUGAAAUUCGUAGAUAUUGGGAAGAACACCGGUGGCGAAGGCGGCGACCUGGUCCUUUACUGACGCUGAGGCGCGAAAGCGUGGGGAGCAAACAGGAUUAGAGACCCCAGUAGUCCCUGUCUCUUAUAA